UACAGAGGUCCCAAGCGUUGUUCGGAUUCACUGGGCGUAAAGGGUGCGUAGGUGGCCAGGUAAGUUUGGUGUGAAAGCUCGGAGCUUAACUCCGAAAAGUCAUUGAAUACUAUCUGGCUGGAGGGUCGGAGGGGAGACUGGAAUUCUCGGUGUAGCAGUGAAAUGCGUAGAUAUCGAGAGGAACACCAGUGGCGAAGGCGGGUCUCUGGACAGUUCCUGACGCUGAGGCACGAAGGCCAGGGGAGCAAACGGG
rnacentral:rRNA from 1 species